UAGUUGAAGUAACAAGCUAAGACCUUAAGAAUCGGCGAACCAAAUGACAAUAUUCACUUAUAGGUUACUGUUAUCCUGUGCGUUUUCAACUUUUAACGAACACUGAUGCGGAUCACAGGAUGUGUGGAUGCAACAUAAACUUCAAGGUGGUCAUACAUCUCCCAGACACAUGGAGACCUCCUGCAAUAGGCCACAUAAUGUCCAAGAGCAUCCUGGGUUAAGCCUCCUCUAAAAGCAAUGACUGCCCGUAAAGUAAAUCUCUUUCCCUGGAGCAUCAGAUUGGAGGGAAAUUCACUCAAAGGAAAUUCUGUGGAGUUGCUUCCCAGAGGGACACUGUGACAGACUUUGGAUCGGCCUGAGGCAGGGGGACUCGGGAAGGUCAAGGCCUUCUUCCACCGCGGUCUGAAGAUGAGCCAUGCCAGAAGCCUGCAGUACAGCAACAGAAAUACAAACAAAUGCAAUUUCCCUUCUGACUUGUUUGCUGAGACCACAAUUCUGUGAAGAGCACUGUUUUGUUAAUGAAACACAAGUGCGUUUUGUCAUUGACUUUUCAAUGAUAGUGGAGAUGUGGCAUUGUGCAUCAAUUUGGAGAGCACCAGACUUCAGUCGGACAGCUUUGAAUAUUUCGCUCAUCAGUUCUGCCCUCUGUAUGUAGGCCUGUGCAUUCAGACCCUUUGUGGUGAUGGAUUUCACUAGCUGGAGGAGGUUGUUGGAAUCCUCAUUGCAAACAAUAUUUUCAAAAGUUACACUAUCACAGCCCACUUUGAGUCUUUUCCCUCGAACAGAUGGAUCUGCAUGGAGCCAUUCAGGACAAGGAGAGAGGUAUGAACUCCUCUUCCUCUUUUUGGGUGGAACUGCUAAGCCUCUCCAGUUUUCAACAGCUUCUUCAUCUGUUGGAUGGAUGUUUGUGACAGUGUCAGACUUCCCAGAGCAGGAAGCAUCCAUCUCUGGCCUUCCAUCAAUCCUGCAGGUUGUGAAAAAACACGCAUGUUGCCUUCAAUGAAGGACAGAUGUCGAGCAAUGAAUCGAUCCACUCGAAUAGGCAAGUGUUCAUGCUUGAAAAGGCCGCGUUUGAUGUUUUUAAACUCGGCUUCGACAUUGGCUGAACUUGCAGUGAUUUUGGAGCUCCGGAAGUGAGGGAUCAUUACCCCUGUCCAGAGAGGUCUGUCUGUGUUUGGUCACAUGGAUCCACUUCUUCCAGGUCCGCACCCUCUACAUCUGGAAUGAUGACACACUCUUCUGCAAUUCUGGCUUUUAGCAGUCCCACCGGCUGAUCAUCUUGAUGCAGUGAGCAACAUCAACCCGCACGAAACAAGGUGGGACUUUUGCUGACUGUCUACCAACAUUUUCACCACUGGGACACUUGAGCUCUCACCCCCUGCCACAACAACCUGAUAAAGGAAUAUAUGGCCAGACUUGCCAUUUGGUCUCUGUAGUUUCCUCACCAAUGAGCCAGUUGCAUCAAAACUCACAGUGGGGGUGGCCAAAUUAGGCAGAUGACUUGGCUCAGGAUCUCCAAAAUCCAUCAGCUUUAUUGCCUCUGAUGCCCUCCAUACAUGGGGUUCCUUUCUACCUUCACACAGUUCUUUGGAUAUCUGCACACGCAAGUUACCAGACAUCGGACGUUUGGAACAGCCAGUGUGCAGGGAGUCAUCAGUGUUUUUAAGCAAAUACCUGAACAUCAUUGUGCUGUUUAUUUCAGGCUUUUUGUCACAUUUUAUGUGAAUUUGGCCACGACACUCCUUACAGUUGCCUCUGAUUACAAUAUAUUUGUCUGUGACUGAUGGAUAGACCUUGGCUCUUUUAAAAGUAAAUGUGCAGGGACAUUUCACUUCUUGUCAAAUGUGAUGAUUUAUCACAUGCGUCCAGAUACCUUUUUUUUUGUUUUAGAGAACUUGUUUUUGUAUGUCACUGUUUCAGGCAUAAAUUCAAUCCAUUUCUGAAAUGGAACUUCAAAAUCAAAAGUGCAGAAAUCUUUUGGACUGGAGGAAAGGGACCCUGGCUCAAAAUUAGUGUCAUCACUACUGCCACUUGUUUCAUGAUCACUUUCAUGAGUAAACCCUAAAGCCUUCCAGAUGUUGUGUCUGUUUAAUUUAACAAAAGUGUAUAGUGCCUUUGCAGUGAUCUUGUUGUCUAGCUGUUUACUAAGCUCUGUCCAGAUGCUCUCAUUAGGAGUAGCUAUGUUGCCAUUUUGGAUUAUGGCCUCUUUUGAUGAACACAGGACUGUGAAAAUGGAAUCCCUGUCGACUGCUGGUUUCUUGGGCAUCUGGCAUAAGCAAAACAUAAUUACCCUCAAUUAUUCUGAUUCCAAAAAAUAUCAUGUACAGCAUAAAUUUGUUUUAAUAUAUUACUGUAUUGGUCUGAAUAUAAUGA